CCGGCCGGGCGGGCCCCGGCUCCCCGCCCGCCUGCCCGGUGCCGCGGGAGCGCCCGCAGGAGGAGCGAGGGGCAGCAGGGGCCCGGGGAAGCGCCUCUGGCACGCCUUGGGAGGCAGCGGAGCCCGGGGGCGAAGACGGCACUCUCGAACACUAAAAUGGGACGGGUGCUGCCCAGUGCCAAGAAAGGAGGUGCCCGCUCUGCACAAGGUGCAGAGGACUCCUAGUAUGGGAUGCUGAUGCUCCUUUACUAAAUAAAGCAGUGCUUGGGAGUGAGUGAACAAGCUCGCAAGAUGACGGUUGGACUUGGUGAUAUUAAAGGUCCUUUCCGACCCUAAUGAUUCUAUCAUUCUAUGAUUCUAAGAGGCCUAACUAGAUAACCUUCCUCUAGUCCUUUCUGUAGAUUUAUUUAAAUAUUUUUGAAGUGCCAGCUGCCAGUUCUCCAGGAGUCACCUCGGAAGAGAGCGAGGCACAUGUCUCAAUGACAGAGAGGAAACACUUGUGCCAGUCAGAGAUGCUGAAGGCCACCCGGGGCUGUCUCCUCACCAUCAUUCAGAGGCACACUUUAAUAUCACCAGAGUUUGGGAACUGUGUCUUUCUGGAGCUGUAGGUAUCCAAAGUGGCUGCUGUCAGGAAAAUUCUGUGAGGAAUGCCAGAAUAUAUGACCUACCUGGCAUUUCCCUGCAAAGACAGCAGCCUUCAUCUCAGGACAAACCCACAGGGAACCUGUUCAAUUACCUGAUCUUUUUCUUAAUCACAUAAUGCCUCUUACUGAGACAGAAGAAGAUUAAUUUACUUUUUAAAAACAAUAUUUAUGAACCCAAGGAUUAAAAUUAAUAAUUUGAAAUAACAGCUCCUUAUUGGAGGAAUCCAAACAUCCCUAAUUGCUGUAUUAAGUAUACACUAAUACAUAUAUCUCUAUCUAGAGAUAUAUGAAAAGAGAAAAAACUGAGCCUUGUACAACAUUCAGUAUCUAGAAGCUGUCAUUUUCUCUCCAGAUUUUGACCUGAAAUGUCACCUGUGGCCGCUGUUUGCUUCUGUUCUAAAACCACUGAUGGUCUGUUGGGACA
rnacentral:lncRNA from 1 species